CUCCUACGGGCGGCAGGCAGUAGGGAAUCUUGCGCAAUGGGCGAAAGCCUGACGCAGCAACGCCGCGUGGGGGAUGGAAGGCCUUCGGGUUGUAAACUCCUUUCAGUGGGAACGAAAUUGACGGUACCCACAGAAGAAGCCCCGGCCAACUACGUGCCAGCAGCCGCGGUAAUUC
rnacentral:rRNA from 1 species